rnacentral:rRNA from 1 species
UACGGGGGGGGCAAGCGUUGUUCGGAAUUACUGGGCGUAAAGGGCCAGUAGGCGGCCAACUAAGUCGGAUGUGAAAUCCCCAGGCUUAACCUGGGAACUGCAUCCGAUACUGGAUGGCUUGAAUUCGGGAGAGGGAUGCAGAAUUCCAGGUGUAGCGGUGAAAUGCGUAGAUAUCAGGAAGAACACCCGUGGCGAAGGCGGCUCUCUGGAACGCAACUGACGCUGAGACGCGAAAGCGUGGGGAGCAAACAGG